rnacentral:lncRNA from 1 species
CACUAGUAGCUAUAUAAAUAAAUGUAAGUUGUGACAUUAUUCCCCACAACUUCAUUUCAAAACCAUAUAAUAUAUAGAUCAAAAUUAAGAAGCAGAAGAGAAGAGCAAGCUCUAGCAAAUUAAGGCAUGGAAGGCUUAAUUCCAUUUCUCCUCCACACCCUCAAGAAACAGAAGCCUCACAACGGUUACCGUUCCCUUUCCGACACCUCUAACCGGAGCUACCACACUCUGAUGGGAGCCAACGACGAGGGCUCGUCUCAUCGUCGAACAAGGUCGGAAUUUCAGUCAUACGUGGUGGUUAAUUUAUCGGAGAAACGAAGCUUGAACAAAGGUUCUACUCUUUUAACAUCAAAUGCAACUGUCUCGAGGCAAAUUGGCUCUAGUAAUUUUCAAGUUUCAGCAGAUACAAAUGUUAAUGUUCGACAAAAAAACUAGAGUAUUUUAGUGUAACAUCUUGUCGUCUUAAAACGAGAAUCACGUUUGAUUUGUCGAUUUUUUUAAAAAUGCAUAUUGAGAAUUGCGAAUAAUAUAUAUAUAUAUAUAUAUAUAUAUAUAUAUAUUAUUGACAAAUUUUAAUAGGCAUAAGAAAAAUUAACAAUUCAAAUAGGAUCCUUAUUUAAUGACUAUGGGAAUAUUAUUGUGUAAUUGUAUUAAUUUGUAGUAAGGAUCAACAUUUGAUUUCUUAAUUCAUUCAAUUGUAACUAAACAUGGCUUGUGAAUUGAUAAUUUUGUUGUAGGAUUUUUAUUUUAAUUUUAAUUCUGCUUUUUGCUCUUAGCUUGAUUAAUAUUCCAUUCCAUUAUAUUCACGACAGUGUCGGCAUCGAAAUUGUAUUUCAAUUUGAUCAAAGACAGUGUAAACACGAGGACUUAUUAUUAGUCAAUUGAAGAUAAAGAUUGGCUGGUCGGAAUUUGCUGCUUGCUAGUUGG